rnacentral:rRNA from 1 species
UACAGAGGGUGCAAGCGUUGUUCGGAAUUAUUGGGCGUAAAGGGUGCGUAGGCGGUGCGGUAAGUCUCUUGUGAAAUCUCCGGGCUCAACUCGGAGCCUGCAAGGGAAACUGCCGUGCUUGAGUAUGGGAGAGGUGAGUGGAAUUCCUGGUGUAGCGGUGAAAUGCGUAGAUAUCAGGAGGAACACCUGUGGCGAAAGCGGCUCACUGGACCACAACUGACGCUGAGGCGCGAAAGCUAGGGGAGCAAACAGG